rnacentral:misc_RNA from 1 species
GCUUUGAAGUUGGCGUUUUCACUGUUUUGUUUGUUGCCGAGCAAGGCGAUAGUUGCCGAGGAGGCUGAUCAAUCACCCAUGGCACUGCAACUGGCCUCCUUCGUCCUUCGACGCCAGCCACCACUUGCUGGGCUGCGACUGCUCAGUAGCUCUGCAGCGAUGGCUUCCCCAAAGGUUGCAGUGGUGCUGUCUGGCUGUGGCGUAUAUGACGGCACUGAGGUGCACGAGGCAUCCGCCUGCCUAGUGCAUCUCAGCAGGGCUGGCGCCGACGUCCAGUGCUAUGCCCCGGACAUCAAGCAAAUGCACGUCGUCGACCACAUUAAGGGCCAGCCGGUCGAGGGCGAGCCGCGCGGUGUGCUGCAGGAGUCUGCGAGGAUCGCCCGUGGAGAUGUACGCGACCUCAGCACCCUGGACCUCAGCCAGGCGGAUGCCGUGGUCUUCCCUGGCGGUUUCGGCGCCGCCAAGAACCUCUCGACAUUCGGCACUGAGGGCGCCGCCAUGUCAGUGCAGCCGGAGGCGGAGCGGGUGCUGAAGGAGUUCCACGCGGCCGGCCGGCCGGUAGCGCUGUGCUGCAUCGCGCCGGUGCUGGCGGCCCGCCUGGUGCCGGGCGCCCGUGUGACGCUGGGCGCCAGCGGGCCGCAGUGGCCGUACGCCGGCUCCCAGGAGGCGGCGGCCGGCUGGGGCGCCGACGUCCAGCAGUGCCAGGUGGACGAGGUGUGUGUGGACGAGAAGAACCGACUGGUCACCACGCCGGCCUUUAUGUACGACACCAAGGAGUUCCAUCGCGUCUUCGACGGCGUCGGCAAAAUGAUCGGCGAGCUGAUCAAAAUGUUGAAGUAAAAAUGUAUACCGGCCUUGAGUUUUAUCAAGGAAAAUAUGGCUGAUGUUGGCUGUUAUGGUGGUAAACUGGCGCAGAGAAGCGCUGCACUUAUUGGCGAGAGGGAAGCUUGACUGAACUGAUUUUGUAUCGCUUUUGUUGGAUUUUGUUGUAUGUCUGUGAAAUAAACCUUCAUUUUU